AGUGGGCGAACAUGGCAGCCAGCGUGGCGUGGCCAGAUGUGUAACGACUUGUCUACACUAGCGCACGGUAAAUGGAUGCGUGCGGUUUAGGCCGCCCAGAGUAGCUCGCUUGUGGGUGUGCUGGAAGCAUAUGGCAGCAAGUUCGAUUGUGCGUCAAGAAUUCAUCAUAGCAAGUUUGUAUGAAGGUCUGGUUAUUAAAUGGGUAAAUACUUUAAUCCAUUCUCCUUUUCAUUAUGUUAUUCACAGGUACAUUUAAAGAUGCUCUAAAACUCUCUGGUGACAAAAACGUUUCUUCCCUGUUUCCAAUCGUCCACAUGGCUGGGAUAACCUAUUCAAGUAAGUUAAGUAAAUAACGUUGCAUUUCGAAAAUGUAAAAACAAAACAUGUAUUAUUAGCUAACUAGCUACAGUGCAGGCUAACUCAAAUGAGCUACUAAUGUAGCUAGCUAACGUUAGCUAUCUAGCCAACUUUACAUACGUAUAGAUCGCUAGCUAAGUGAAUUAAAUAUCACCUGCUACCUAACAUCGUAUUAGCUAGCUAUCUUGAUGUAUUUAUCACUGUAAAAAAACACUCAAAAUGCAUUUGUAGGUAGGUAGCUAGCUAACAGCCAUGGAGAAGGGUGAACAGAUAGCAGCUCCAACUGUCAAAGUGAGAGAGUAGGCUAUUCUGGAUAGGAUAUGGAGUUUUCUAGUUCCAGUCCCAAUAAGUGAGGACAGUGAUAAUAGUAACAUAAUAUUCAGUGCAGGUUAAUUUUAGUAUAAUGAAGUCUGUUUCUUGUGAGGUUUUCUGUCCUCAGAUACAGAAGCCUGUCUGCAGAUGAAGAGGUCCCAAUGACGAGCAGUGGUUCUCAGUCCUGGUCCUGGGAACUCAAAGGGGUGCACAUUUAUGUUUCAGCCUUAGCACUACACAGCUGAUUCAAAUGAUCAACUCAUCAAGUGAUACCUUGUAACAGGACAUUCUUUCAAAACGAUUGCCUACAGUUACCGUGUAGGGCACUGCUCGGUUGGGUGACCAGGGCCAUCUGGGACUGCCUCCUGGGGGAAUUCAGGCGUGUGAAGGCUACUUGUGUCCUGCAUAACAUAAUGGACACGAGGACCAGGAGGGGAUCUGCAACCCACCGCCAUGUGCCAUAGGAGAAGUCUGCUGCUCUUCAGGAUGUUUCAAUGAUGGGGUCCAACAACGCAGCAAGAGGCGAGAGAGCUUCACCUCCUACUUCUUUGAAGAGUGUGCUGUUCCCUGGCAACACCAUAGACUGCACUAUGCACAACCAAAGGCUCUUUUAAGAGCCAUCCACAUUGCAAUAAGAGUAUUCUUCCAUUUACUUAGCUAUGUCAACUGCAGUUAUUCAAUUCCCAGUUUCUCUCCUUUUAAUUUCUACUUCUCAGGUGAAGGUGCCGUUUAGGUAAGGGUGUGAUGUCUGUACAAAAACAAAACAGGCUAUUUAAGUCUCCCAUAUUGAAAAAAUGUAGAACAAUUAGACACCCUAUAACCUACACCUUCACACUCAUGUAUCUAUCUGAUUCAUGGGUUGUGCAGUAAGCAGGCUCAGGUGUAUAACUGUGGCUCCUUCCACCUUCAAUGAAUAGGCAAGAGGGCCAACCAUGGAGAAUAGUAAGACACUUCAUUAUUUCUAUAACUGCGUUAUAUUGUUUGUCCUCGUAAGUCUGUGCAUGUUUUUCCAGCAUACAUUAACUCUGCAGCCACUUAGUGGUGUGGACACCAGGUGAGGCCACACACACAGAUUCCUGUUGAACACUGUCUCUUUAACUACCUUAUUUUCUCUAAAAGUCUCUCCUUCACUACAUCCAUCUCUCCCCUUCUCCCUAAGUCCUCUAGGUUAUAUCAGCAUGUGAACUGGCUACAUAGAGGGCACAGCAUGAUCAGAGGUGAGAGGUCACUUGGUCGGGUCAACAGGAAGUAUUAUUAAAGAGAUGCUUUACAUUGAAAUACAGAUAGAGACGUAGUAGUCCCAGAGUUAAUGAUCCAAGGUCAGUUUAGCAUUUUACCUUCUGAUGAUUAGGAUGGCUGUUAGAAUAUAUAUGUUAAACAUGCUAUCGCCAUCUGUCUCUUGUCUGCAUGUAUGUUUUGAUGUGAGAGAGGAUGCCAACCCCCGGUCCCAUCAUCACCACCUCACCUGCACUGAAGAUAACUUUCGGGCCGACUGGGAGCCCAAGGCUGGUUAGGAGACACCACUAGAGACACUAUGUUAUUGUGAUGAACUGAGUGAUUAUUAGGGUAGCACUGUGAUUCAUUAAUCAUAUACUGUCUUCCCUGCUCCUCUGUUCUUACCUCUUUCCCUUUGUCUGUUACAGCUCUCUCGCCACCUCUUUCCUCCUGUUUUUAUAAUGCACAACAGAUGUGCAUUGAAGUACAGAUUGAACUUGUAUUUAUAAUAUUACAAUUAUAUUUAUAAUGCAUGUUUUAUGUAUUUAACAUUUGGAUAAUUAACUUCUUUCAAUAAAGCAUUUCACAUUCUCUA